GCGUCUGUAGCCUAGUUGGUAAAGGCAGCACUCUAGUAUGUGUCUCAGCAUAGCUGAGGUCGUGAGUUCAACACUCACCAGACACA
rnacentral:tRNA from 1 species